CUCUUGCCAAUGGGCAGCAAGCUGAAAUUAUGUGUAUGCAGCCUGAAUCACUGUUCAUUGCCAGUAAGCAGGCCCAGCAACAAAGAAUGGGUUGUAAAAAAAUGCAACACAUCUCCACGUCUGCUGGCACGCAUGAUGGUUGAAUAUGCAGAAAAAUAACUAAAUGCAUGGAACAGCUUUUGCAUUAUUGCUCUUAAACCUGGGAAAUCUGUUUGAUCAUAUGUUAAGGGUAGGUUCAUUGACUCACUGCAUCAGCUGUAGCACUUUGCACUGCAGGUAGUUAUCAGAGGAUGACACAUGCUCCUCCUGAAACACAUUCUGGGCAAUUUUCCCCAGAGUCUUGGAAUCCAAGCAGGUCAUUUGUGCAGUGGGAUGAUAACUGGAAGGUUGCUAAUACUGGCACAGUCAGAAAAAGGAUGUAUUUUACUGCUGCUACAUUAUGUAGCUGCCUUAACCACACAGAACUGAAUCUCAGUUUUGGUGAAUUUGCUUUACUGGAAUUGCCCAUAGCAUCAACUGAGAGGAGGAAUGACCUUAUUCCACACUGUGAGGUCACAGACUCCUUGUUCAGAGAUGGUGUGGAUAAGCUGCAGUGUUUCCCUGCCCACAUCUGUUUUCCUCUCAGCUCCGAGUGUUGUCCUGCUGGAAAGCAACCUCAGGGACAGAAGGAAUGUGACUUUCUGCUCUAGGAGCUGAGGGUGUGAGGUGGCAGUGAAGCAUGAGGCUGAAAGAGAGAAGUGAAGAUGGUGAACAGUGAUUGCAGAGGCUGCCUGCACAGCUGCUGGGACCCAUACCAGGAGAGGAGAAGUGGGUGCUGAGGAUCUCCACAUACUCUCCAGUCACACCACCCUUGUGCAAAGUACAGCUAUCCACAGAAAACAUAGAGAGAAACAUUUUUGGUUGCAUUCUUUCAGAAACAAACAAACAAAAGAAAAACAAGACAAGCUGAAAGCCCAGUGGAGGUCUGCUGUAUUUUUGUCACUGUUAGUCCUUGCCCAGCUUGGCAGCCUCCACUUCUUGGUUUGGCACCAAAUGGUCAGCAGAGCGUGCAGAGCACCGAACGCCAGGAGCACCGCACACAGAGCUUUGCAUGCAGAGGUGAUGCUGCACACCCUUUGUUUCUCAGUCAGCAGCUGAAGGAGUGUGAUAAACCUGAGAACCACAAGGAAACCAAAUGAGAUGUGGUGAGAUCCCUGCUAUCUCGCUUGAAUCGGGGCUGGAGACCCCUGCUAUGAGUGCUCCCCACGCUGUUCUUUCCAUGGGGGAAAAGGCAAAGAAAUUGUUUAAUAAACAGAGAACUCUGACAGCA
rnacentral:lncRNA from 1 species